rnacentral:rRNA from 1 species
GAUGAACGCUAGCUGGAGGCUUAAUACAUGCAAGUCGAGCGGGAUUGGUAGCAAUACCAUGAGAGCGGCGCACGGGUGAGUAACGCGUACACGACCUACCUCUGACAGGGGGAUAGCCCUGGGAAACUGGGAUUAAUACCGCAUAUUAUUCUGAUUAAUAAAGGAUUGGAAUGAAAGUUCAGGCGGUCAGAGAUGGGGGUGCGUCUGAUUAGCUAGUUGGUGGGGUAACGGCCUACCAAGGAGAUGAUCAGUAGGGGGCGUGAGAGCGUGGUCCCCCACACGGGUACUGAGCCACCGACCCGACUCCUACGGGAGGCAGCAGUAAGGAAUAUUGGACAAUGGCCGCAAGGCUGAUCCAGCCAUCCAGCGUGCAGGAAGAAGGCCCUAUGGGUUGUAAACUGCUUUUAUCAGGGAAGAAACCUCUGGAUUUACUCCGGAGCUGACGGUACCUGAAGAAUAAGCACCGGCUAACUCCGUGCCAGCCGCCGCGGUAACAC